GGCAGCCGCUGGCAGAGAUGUCCAGAGGAAAGUCCAUGCUCGCACUGUCUGAGACGACAGUAGUGUCUGUGCUGGUCCAAUCAAUAAGGCCAGGCAUCCGCAAGGAUGACGGCGGAACCGAAGCCUAAAGGCUAUGCCCAUGGCGAAGGUCCUUAAGGUGUCACAGUGACGAAGUCCCUGGGGAAACGCAGGGAGUGGAACGCGAUAAACCCCUCAGGCGAGAAACCCAAAUUUGGUAGGGGAACCGGAAAGGGUGAAAUGAAAUCAUGAUCCGGCUGCACCAUGGUGCAGAGAUAAAUGGCUGCCGCGCCGCAAGGUGAACAGAACAUGGCUUAU
rnacentral:RNase_P_RNA from 1 species